rnacentral:rRNA from 1 species
CUACGGGGUGCAGCAGUGAGGAAUUUUGCGCAAUGGGGGGAACCCUGACGCAGCAACGCCGCGUGAGUGAUGAAGGCUUUCGGGUCGUAAAGCUCUGUCAAGUGGGAAGAACCUAUGCAGUGUUAAUGUCACUGUAUACUGACGGUACCACUGAAGGAAGCACCGGCUAACUCCGUGCCAGCAGCCGCGGUAAUACGGGGGGUGCAAGCGUUAUUCGGAAUCAUUGGGCGUAAAGGGCACGUAGGCGGCUUGGUAAGUCAGAUGUGAAAGCCCGGGGCUUAACCCCGGAAGUGCAUUUGAUACUGUCAGGCUUGAGUAUGGGAGAGGGAAGUGGAAUUCCUGGUGUAGAGGUGAAAUUCGUAGAUAUCAGGAGGAACACCGGUGGCGAAGGCGACUUCCUGGACCAAUACUGACGCUGAGGUGCGAAGGCGUGGGUAGCAAACAGGAUUAGAUACCCCCGUAGUC